AAUCGCUAGUAACCGCGCAUCAGCUAUGGCGCGGUGAAUAUGUUCCUGGACUUUGUACUCACCGCCCGUCAAGCUAUGAAAGGUAGGGGCGCCUAAAGUCCCUGGUUUACCGGGGCCUAGGGUGACACUACUGAUUGGAGCUAAGUCGUAACAAGGUAUCCGUAGGAGAACCUGCGGAUGGAUCACCUCCUUUCUAAGGAGU
rnacentral:rRNA from 1 species